rnacentral:rRNA from 1 species
UACGUAGGGAGCAAGCGUUGUCCGGAAUCAUUGGGCGUAAAGCGCGCGUAGGUGGCUUCGUAAGUCCGUUGUGAAAGUCAAAGGCUCAACCCUGGAAAGCCGGUGGAUACUGUCGGGCUAGAGUCCGGAAGAGGCGAGUGGAAUUCCUGGUGUAGCGGUGGAAUGCGCAGAUAUCAGGAGGAACACCGAUGGCGAAGGCAGCUCGCUGGGACGGUACUGACGCUGAGGCGCGAAAGCGUGGGGAGCGAACAGG